rnacentral:rRNA from 1 species
UACGAAGGGGCUAGGCGUUGCUCGGAAUCACUGGGCGUAAAGGACGCGUAGGCGGCCAUUCAAGUCGGAGGUGAAAGCCCAGGGCUCAACCCUGGAAUUGCCUUCGAUACUGUCUGGCUAGAGACCGGAAGAGGUAAGUGGAACUGCGAGUGUAGAGGUGAAAUUCGUAGAUAUUCGCAAAGAACACCAGUGGCGAAGGCGGACUUGCUGUCCGGUUCUGACGCUGAGGCGCGAAAGCGUGGGGAGCAAACAGG